AUACGUAGGGGGCGAGCGUUGUCCGGAAUGACUGGGCGUAAAGGGCGUGUAGGCGGCCGACUAAGUAUGGAGUGAAAGUCCAUUUUUCAAGGAUGGAAUUGCUUUGUAGACUGGUUGGCUUGAGUGCGGAAGAGGUAAGUGGAAUUCCCAGUGUAGCGGUGAAAUGCGUAGAGAUUGGGAGGAACAUCAGUGGCGAAGGCGACUUACUGGGCCGUAACUGAGGCGGAGUCGCGAAAGCGUGGGGAGCGAUCAGGAUUAAAUACCCCGGUAGUCCUGGCCGUAAACGAGGGGUACAAGGUGUGGGAGGUAUCGGCCCCUUCCGUGCCGGAGUUAACGCAAUAAGUGCCCCGCCUGGGGAGUACGGCCGCAAGGCUUAAACUCAAAUGAAUUGGCGGGG
rnacentral:rRNA from 1 species